rfam:Caenorhabditis briggsae complete genome, chrIV
CCAACGGCCCUCUUUAGGGCCACACAUGAAUCCAAAAAAUAUAUUU